UACAGAGGGUGCAAGCGUUGUUCGGAAUUAUUGGGCGUAAAGGGCGCGUAGGCGGUUCGGCAAGUCUCUAGUGAAAUCUCAGGGCUCAACUCUGAGUCUGCUGGGGAAACUGCCGGGCUUGAGUGUGGGAGAGGAGAGUGGAAUUCCCGGUGUAGCGGUGAAAUGCGUAGAUAUCAGGAAGAACACCCGUGGCGAAGGCGGCUCUCUGGGACGGUACUGACGCUGAGACGCGAAAGCGUGGGGAGCGAACAGG
rnacentral:rRNA from 1 species